AACGAACGCUGGCGGCAUGCCUAACACAUGCAAGUCGAACGAGACCUUCGGGACUUGUCGCGUACGGGGUCGUAACCGGUGGGAAGCUUCCCUCGUGGAUGGCCUACCUCUCCGAAUGGGAUGCUAAUACCGGACAAUGUCUUCGAACCGAAGAUUUAUCGCCUUUGGAUGGGCCCUCGUGGGAUUAGAUAGUUGGUAGGGUAAAAGCAUACCAAGGCGCCAAUUCAUAGCUGGUCUGAGAGGAAGGUCAGCCACACUGGGACUAGGACGCGGCCCAGAAUCCUACGGGAGGCGGCAGUGGGGAAUAGUGGACCGUCGGCUGAGGCCUGAUCCUGCUCUGCCGCGUGAGUGAUGAAGGCAUUAGGGUUGUAAAGCUCUUUUAACCGGGAUGAUAAUGACGGUACCGGAAGAAUAAGCUCCGGCUAACUCCGUG
rnacentral:rRNA from 1 species